AACGAACGCUGGCGGCAUGCCUAACACAUGCAAGUCGAACGAGACCUUCGGGUCUAGUGGCGCACGGGUGCGUAACGCGUGGGAACCUGCCCUUAGGUUCGGAAUAACUCCCCGAAAGGGGUGCUAAUACCGGAUAAUGUCUUCGGACCAAAGAUUUAUCGCCUUUGGAUGGGCCCGCGUUGGAUUAGCUAGUUGGUAGGGUAAAAGCCUACCAAGGCGACGAUCCAUAGCUGGUCUGAGAGGAUGAUCAGCCACACUGGGACUGAGACACGGCCCAGACUCCUACGGGAGGCAGCAGUGGGGAAUAUUGGACAAUGGGCGAAAGCCUGAUCCAGCAAUGCCGCGUGAGUGAUGAAGGCCUUAGGGUUGUAAAGCUCUUUUACCCGGGAUGAUAAUGACAGUACCGGGAGAAUAAGCUCCGGCGAACUCCG
rnacentral:rRNA from 1 species